GGGCGACAUGAUAUACGUAUAUGGGCUCACAGAGGCUUCUGAGCUCUUGCGUAAUGUUUUAGUUUGUGGUGGUGCUGGUAAAUGUGUACGGAGAGUAGAAAUGUUGUGGCAAGAAAGGGAAACAUGGUUUAUGUUUAUAGCAGUACUGACAUUGAUCCCCUCAGCAUUUUGUCUUGUAGUUCCUAAGGGUAAAUUGGUUCAGGCUGGUAGACUUAUCAUUGGCUCCAGCAGAAUUACAAAUGAAACCAAGGAUGGCAUUGUUAAGAAAGUGCAUGACGAAUAUGUUGGAGAUACCAACGGAUACCAAUCUGAUCAGCCAGAGUUAACAGAAGGGUCCCAACUGUCAACCUUAAUGCUCAGGCGCUGGAGUCCGUCAGUGCAGUGUGAUGACGAUUCCAUGUCCUUGCAUAUCCAGGGAAGUCGAGUACCCAACUUGUUGGUUGAGACAAGUGAAGAGGCCUAGUACCAUUAUCACAAAUGCCAUCCCACUGCGGCUUUUUCGUUGAGGAGGGACCACGGAGACGUUGCACUCGUUGCCAAGUACGCUGGCUGUAACGUUGCACAGCAGGGGAAUAGCUACAUCCUGCCGUUACGGGUUUCGGGAGUUGCUGUGAAGAUGGUCUGUCCUGUGGCUUGUCCUCUCACUGUCUCCUGUAGCCCUUCAGCUAUGGUUGUCAAUCUUGGGGUGUCUACAGCUGCUCUCAGGCUGAAGGUGAAUGGUGUGUGGCAACCUGUGUACCAAGCUUCUACCUGUGGAUUUACCUUGGAAGUUGUGGGAGGUGGACUGACCCUCACUGCACCAUAUGCAAGCAACUGCUGGCAAUUUGAGGGUGCCAAGAUGCUUUUGUCUGUGCAAUACAUGGAUAGGGAGUUGACCUUGUCCUGCCCAGCUGUUCAGCCCCCAGCUACUACUCCUUUACCUGCUCACAUGGAUCCUGGAGCUUCCACAGAUGCCCCCAUGACCACCUUGGCUACUACGGUUGCACCAGCUAGUGCUAAGCUGCCUUUGUAUCCUUGGUUACGUGGACUGUAUUAUCCUCAUGGUUAUGGAAUGCCAUGGAAUUUCCCAUAUGGCCAUCCUGGAACUCCCCAGUUACCCAGACCACUACAUCUACUCCAGCUGCUGCUGCUACUACAUCUACUCCAGCUGCUGCUGCUACUACAUCUACUCCAGCUGCUGCUGCUACUACAUCUACUCCAGCUGCUGCUGCUACUACAUCUACUCCAGCGGCCACAGUCGCACCAGCUAGUGCUGGUCAGAUGCCUUUGUAUCCUUGGUUAUCUGGAAUGUAUUAUCCUAGUGGUUAUGGGAAUGACAUGGAAUUUCCCAUAUGGCCGGCCUGGAACUCCCCCAGUUACCCAGACCACUACAACUACUCCGGCUACUACAACUACUCCAGCUGCCACUGUUGCACCAGCUAGUGCUGGUCAGCUGCCUUUGUAUCCUUGGUUAUCUGGAAUGUAUUAUCCUAGUGGUUAUGGAAUGCCAUGGAAUUUCCCAUAUGGCCAGCCUGGAACUCCCCCAGUUACCCAGACCACUACAACUACUCCAGCUGUCACAGUUGCACCAGCUAGUGCUGGUCAGCUGCCUUUGUAUCCUUGGUUAUCUGGAAUGUAUUAUCCUAGUGGUUAUGGAAUGCCAUGGAAUUUCCCAUAUGGCCAGCCUGGAACUCCCCAGUUACCCAGACCACUACAACUACUCCGGCUACUACAACUACUCCAGCUGCCACUGUUGCACCAGCUAGUGCUGGUCAGCUGCCUUUGUAUCCUUGGUUACCUGGAAUGUAUAAACCUUAUGUCCCUAUGGGUUCACCUGGUGCUCCAGUAUCUGGCCCCAACAGUGGGGUUAAACAGCAGAUGUACCAAAUGCCCUGGAUGAAUGCUUAUCCCCAAGUACCUGGCUUGAAAUCAAACGCCAGGCUCUCCAGUGGUUAACCCAUCCAAAUUUGUAAGGUCCGGCUAAUUUUCUCCACUACAGGUCGGCGCACGUCCAGGAAAAUGAGCAAUACUAUACUGUGGUUAUCAAAUGGAGGUGGUGAUGGAUCAAUAAAAACAAAAAUUCAAAAUGG
ensembl:lncRNA